rnacentral:rRNA from 1 species
GAUGAACGCUGGCGGCGUGCCUAAUACAUGCAAGUCGAGCGAACAGACGAGGAGCUUGCUCCUCUGACGUUAGCGGCGGACGGGUGAGUAACACGUGGAUAACCUACCUAUAAGACUGGGAUAACUUCGGGAAACCGGAGCUAAUACCGGAUAAUAUAUUGAACCGCAUGGUUCAAUAGUGAAAGACGGUUUUGCUGUCACUUAUAGAUGGAUCCGCGCCGCAUUAGCUAGUUGGUAAGGUAACGGCUUACCAAGGCAACGAUGCGUAGCCGACCUGAGAGGGUGAUCGGCCACACUGGAACUGAGACACGGUCCAGACUCCUACGGGAGGCAGCAGUAGGGAAUCUUCCGCAAUGGGCGGAAGCCUGACGGAGCAACGCCGCGUGAGUGAUGAGGGUCUUCGGAUCGUAAAACUCUGUUAUUAGGGAAGAACAAAUGUGUAAGUAACUAUGCACGUCUUGACGGUACCUAAUCAGAAAGCCACGGCUAACUACGUG